rnacentral:lncRNA from 1 species
UCGAGGGAAGAAGUCUGAAAAGGUUAGCUUCUUUGAACUUCAAUGAAAUACCUGGUCAAUCAUGGGCAUCAGUCCAAGGGCUCUGGCUCGCAGAAAACAUCCAGGAAGAACUGGCUCCUAUUCCAACAUAUGACAUAAAUAGUCCAUCAACAUAUAAGGUAGAGAUGGAGAGAAGAAAAUGAGAUAAGGUGGUUCACCUGCAUGAUAACCAAACAAUCCAUGGGAUCAUUGUCUUCGCAUAGCGUGCGAGGGAUGAAACCAUAAUUGUGAGGAUAGACUACUGAGGAAUACAAAAUCCGAUCAACCUGGGAUUCAUUUAAACUCAUCAAUACAAGAAAGGGAAAAGCCUUGCCUUAUCCUGCGAGGUAUAUGCCUCACCAACAUGUCUAAAGGUACCUUAAUCAUUCCGGUCUUUUUGUCAAGUUCAUAUUUCACCUUACUGCCUUUUGAUAUCUCCACAACCUGUACAGUUGAACAAGGAAUCCAACAACCGAACAAUUAGUAGUGCAUGCAUGGAAACUUCGCCAUUUCCAUGUCCAGUCAAUAAAGGCUUACACAAUUGAAAACGGUUGGAGCUUCAGAUCCUGCACACAACAUAUAUUGCAAUAUGUAAGUUCUCCAGUUUGAUUAAUAUAAGCUUAAAAACGUGGAAUCUGAUUAUUCAGUGAUUGGAUAGGUGGUACCAAUCUCAAGAUCAUGCCAUGGAUGUGCAGCUACCGAUCUCUUUGACAUAGCCGAUAGGAUCCUCUCAUUUAGACGGGGGCGUGGAGCUUCAGUCGAUUCACUCAUCCUUUUUAUUUUAUUUUUUCCAGAAUAGAAUAAAAUGCAUCAACAUUCAAUCAAAUUCAGUCCACCAUGUUGCAUAAAACAGGGGUUUAUGCUUAUGAGUAUAUUAUAAAACUUUACAGUACCUUUGAUAUGUAUGAAGGUUGCUCCAUCAAUAAAAUACAACACAAAGAUCAGCAAAAAAAGCAACUAUUUUCUCCACAUGGUAAAACUAAAAUGUAAAAGCGUGGUUACUUUUAAUGCUUUACAUCUAUGCCAAGCUAAACCAAAGUCCAAAGCUUUGUUCAUGAUCUG